rnacentral:misc_RNA from 1 species
CAAAUGCGAUACGCAAUGCGAAUUGCAGAAUUCCGCGAGUCAUCAGAUCUUUGAACGCAAGUGGCGCUGGGUUAAACAAUACCCCAGCAUGUUUGUUUCAGUGUGUUAGGAAUCAUAUAUCUUAAUGCGGUUGAAGAACCCUCACCGGUUUUUCUCCCGUUAAACACGAAAGCGCUGAAUCGUUCAGUGCCAACCGAUGUAGUCACUUCCUCGCAAGUGAUCUCGGUUAGGCUAUAGCUGAGGAUUCACUCAAAGCGAUUUUCAAAAACAACAUAUUAUUCUCCAUUCAACACCUGAAAUCAAGCAAGAUCACCCGCUGAACUUAA